rnacentral:rRNA from 1 species
UACGUAGGGUGCGAGCGUUGUCCGGAAUUAUUGGGCGUAAGAGCUCGUAGGCGGUUUGUCGCGUCGGAUGUGAAAGCCCGGGGCUUAACUCCGGGUCUGCAUUCGAUACGGGCAGGCUAGAGUUCGGUAGGGGAGAUCGGAAUUCCUGGUGUAGCGGUGGAAUGCGCAGAUAUCAGGAGGAACACCGAUGGCGAAGGCAGAUCUCUGGGCCGUAACUGACGCUGAGGAGCGAAAGCAUGGGGAGCGAACAGG